rnacentral:lncRNA from 12 species
CUCCACCCUUGCCCAUAAUAUCCCAUUAUUCCCAAAGCUCCCAGCAUUGCAGCCCAGCGCUCUGUUGGUGUUAGAUAAAUGAGUGUGGCAACUAUUGCCUUCUGGACAAUCUUCCAAAAAGGGUUAGGAUUAGUUUACCUGGUUCUCAGUUGGUUAAGUGGUUAAAAAUUGUGAACACCAAAUACAUAUUUGCUGUGUUUUUACUGAGCAGCCUUACUUGGAGUGAGAUGGGAGGGGGGGAGACACUGAAAAAGUUAAAGUGAAAACCCAGCUCCACACUGUCAAUUUCAAGAUGAGACUCUAAAGGGAAACAUCCUGGGGAGGGGGGAUCACCUCUGAUAUUGGAUGAUGUUACAAAUGGAUCAUCAUCCGUAUGAACAUCCGGCAAGUGUGUAGCUGUCCUCAGGGGGUAGGGUGCUCCCUACAACCUGCAGCUGCCGGGCUGUGUCCAAUUUUUGGUUUUAACCACUAAUUAAGCUCAGUUUAUUGAGAACAGACUGCCUUCCUCACCAGGAGAAAGAGACUCCAGGCUUGCGGGAAAAGAGGCCCUGCUUGCGUGUCCAGGACCCCUUGAUUUUUGCACUUUGCUGGCAGCCAGGCACUGCUUUGGUGCUCAGCUCUUCUGGACAAGCCUAGUCUCCACCCUACCCAAACCAGCUGCUACAAUCCUUAGGAACACUGGAAAGACACUCCCACUCCUUCCUCUGCCUGUAGGAAGAUCAAAGUCUUAAGCAAGACUUCUUCUAUCCUUGGCCAGAGAGAAUCCCAAGGGUAAUUUUUAAGUCUUUAAAUGAGGUUAAAACUAGAGGUUACUGGUAUUCACUGGAGUUGAGAAUGAA